rnacentral:rRNA from 1 species
GAUGAACGCUAGCUACAGGCUUAACACAUGCAAGUCGAGGGGAAACGAUAUUGGAAGCUUGCUUCCGAUAGGCGUCGACCGGCGCACGGGUGAGUAACGCGUAUCCAACCUGCCCAUCACUCGGGGAUAACCUUGCGAAAGUAAGACUAAUACCCAAUGACGUCCAUAGAAGACAUCUGAAAUGGAUUAAAGAUUUAUCGGUGAUGGAUGGGGAUGCGUCUGAUUAGCUUGUUGGCGGGGUAACGGCCCACCAAGGCGACGAUCAGUAGGGGUUCUGAGAGGAAGGUCCCCCACAUUGGAACUGAGACACGGUCCAAACUCCUACGGGAGGCAGCAGUGAGGAAUAUUGGUCAAUGGGCGAGAGCCUGAACCAGCCAAGUAGCGUGCAGGAUGACGGCCCUAUGGGUUGUAAACUGCUUUUAUAAGGGAAUAAAGUGAGUCUCGUGAGACUUUUUGCAUGUACCUUAUGAAUAAGGACCGGCUAAUUCCGUGCCAGCCGCCGCAGUAACAG